AUGGUAUAUACGGCAUCUUCUUUAUCCAGUCAGUUAUUUAUAGGCAUUUCAGUUGUUUCCGUUUCUUGGGAAUUGUAAAUAAUGCUGGUAGGAACAGUGGGGGUGUGUAUAUCUUUCUGAAGUAGUGUUUUCAUUUUUUCCCAGGAGUGGGAUUGCUGGAUCAUACAGUAAUUCUGUUUUUAAUUUUUUGAGGAAUCUCCAUGCUGUUUUCCACAGCAGCUGCACAGUUUACAUUCCUACCAACAGUGUACAAAGGUGUCCUUUUCUAAUAAUCACUUGCUUUAAGAGGAGACUUAUUUUUUUUAAUUUAGCUGUGGUGAUAGUUUAGACACUAAGUCGUGUCCGAUUCUUGUGACCCCCAUGGGCUGUAGCCCACCACUCCUCCCUCUCCAUGGUAUUUCCCAGGCAAGAAUACUGGAGUGGGUUGCCAUUUCCUGUCUCCUACAUUGGUGGAUGGGUUCUUUACCGACUGAGCCAUCAGAGAAGCCCCUUUUGAACUUAGCUACUAGUGGCAAAUAGUAUUAAAUCUUUUGUUAUCAGAGCUGUAUUCCAGAAUCCAAUUGACAGGUGGAAAAUAUGGAGACUUUGGUCUUUCCAACAGUGAGUCACAGUGGGACCAGCUUUACUGGUGUUGUCCUUUAAGAGAACAUGACUAUAUUCCCUUAGAAAUUCACUUUUAGUGUUGAGUACAUGAGUCAUGAGGGCUUUCCAGAUGGUGCUAGUGGUAAAGAACCCGCCUGCCAAUACAGGAGACAUAAUAGACUCAGGUUCGAUUUCUGAGUGGGAACGAUCUCCUGGAGAAGGAAAUGGCAACCCACUCCAGUAUUCUUGCCUGGAGAAUCCCAUGGACCGAGGAGCCUGGUGGGCUACAGUCCACGGGGUCGCAACAAGUUGGGCCUGACUGAAGUGACUUAGCGUGCAUGCACACACAUGAGUCAUGAAUGCUCACACUUCGGAAAAGUGGAGAAGGUAAGGGGGUCUUUGCUGGCUCUGGUGAGGGUGGGGGACAGAACAGUCCUCCUGGCGGUGGAGCAUCUUUGAGCAUAUUCAUCCCACUUCAAAACCUGUGAUGUCUUGGAAGGGAUCCAUUUGUAGAGACGCAAAGCGACAGAUGGUGUGCGAAGGAGAGAGACUGUGACAGCAGAAAAUGCAUUCGCUUAUUAAGAAAUCAGCUACUUGAGACAGCACGGCAGGUUUCCAUGGAGCAGGCGUGGGGCUUGACUCAAAGGGAAGAGGGAUUUCCCAGCUGCUUGCUCUGAAGUCGGGAUUUAUCUUUGGAUCACCAUCAUUUACAGUCAUCUUACGAAAGCCUCCUCCCUGAGUCAGGGAUUCUCGCGUUGAUUCCUCUGCCCUUGCUUCCAUGCCUCAGGGCCCUGAUUCUGCCCACUUUGCUCUUCGUGGCUGCUCAGAUCUGGCUGUUCCAGGCCCUGUGCUGGACUGCAGGGGGACAUGGAUGACUGGGAGACACGGUUCUCAUGAGCUCGUAGUUCAGAGAGCACGGGGUGGGGGAAAUGCUGUGUUGAGGGGGAGGCAGUGAAUAUGAGCCCACGAAGUGGCCUCAUGUAGGACAUAAGGGAGUGGUAGGGACUGUGGCAAUCUGGAGGCAGAGAUGUGAGCAGGGGGAUUUUUGUGUGCAAACUUCUGGUUUUUAAAACACCUCUGGUGAAGGAGGCCAAACUUAGCCGCUGGCCCGCCAGCUCACACAACACAGGGCUGGAGGAGGAAAUUGUCUAGGACACUCUAGUCCCUUCCUCUUUCUGAAACUUAGGAGGAGACAAACUUUCUGUUUGCCUGUUAAACAGACAAACACUCCAAGGAGAACAAAAAGCAAAUGCAAAGAGCUUAAGCUCCUACUUGGCCUCAGAACACAGUGGUGACACCUAUAGCGUCAGGAUGGCAGCACCCAGCUUUGAAUCCUGGUCUAACUUCGGGCUGUGUGGGCACAGUUUUCUCAUCUGCAGGGUAAUAGUAGUCACCACCUCAUGGCUGUCAUGAGGAUCAAAUGAGCUGAUACACGUGCAGGGCCUGGAAGCAUGUCUGGCACCAUGUAAGUGUUAGCUGUUGUCGGAAUUACAGAGACAGAUGGUUUCUGACUGUGAGGAUCCCAGAGAAAGUGUGAAGAGGUGACUCAGCUCAAGGUGCCCCCACGCUCCAGACAUCCUCUCCAUCAGCACCUUCUCGGCUCAUCUGAGCGGUCCCUCCCCUCCAGUCCUCGUCUCCAUCCUUCUGUGCCUUCUUCCCAGACCUGGGCCAGCGCUGCUGAGCUGUUAUGUGCAUGCGAGCUGCUUGGAGGUCUUGAUGAAAUGCAUCUUUUAAUCUUAUGGAUCUGAGCAGGACCAUGCUUGUAAAAAGAGCUCAGAUUUUGCCAGCUUUGAGAAGCUAGGAGCUAAGGACGUGCCGCCUCCAUACCCUCUUCCCAGAAAAGUCUUGCCUUUAGGAUCCAAGCCUUGCGCAGCCCGUGUGCAGCAUCCUCCUCUCCAUCCGCACAGCUGUCCUGCCCAGCAGCGGGGAGGUGGACUCUGCACGCAUGGAGCAUCCCUGUCCAGUCAUCACUCCAUCUGCCCCCCAGCUCUUCUGACUCAGGCCACACCUCCUAUUGUGGGAGUGUCUCAUGUGAAUAGUGUUUCAGAGCCGUCCUCAGAUCUCAGCACACUGAGGAGAGUCAUUUUCCCCUAGAAUAGAUACAGCACAAGAGAGCCUUAUGCUGUAGGCUUGUUUCCCCGGGACUCCCACCAGCCUGGGUCUGUUAUGCCUCCACUUACAGUCUGUCUGCAGCAAAUGUAUGAGGAGGGUAUGAAAGCAUCUCCACUCUGAGUGAGCCAUUUGGACACAGGCCAUACCUCACUUGCUCCAAGAGGCCCAAGCUACAGCUAUCCCAUGGAUUUAUGAGAAUAAAUAAAUAGUAUUUAUCCUACAGUUCUCUUUGUUAAAACUCCCCAAAUCCAGGAAUAUGGGACCAUCAGGUCUCUCUCUGUGUUGGUACCAACUAACAAGCUUGUAAGUAUCCCAGCCACAAAGUAACAGAAAAGAGUGUUAUUAAGAGAAAGAAAACUCUGUGAAUAUGUUUAUUUUAAUGGGAAAAGGACAGUUACUCAAAGCACAGUAAUGUGACCUGGUCUUCCAAAGUCCCAGCAUGAGUAGCCCCAAGGCUGAUGGCACUUGGUCAAGGUCAAGAGCACUUUUAGGGGAGUUUUAAGGGGGUCUUCAUCGCCACAAGCAUCAGGGAUUAGCUACCACAUCGGUGACCCUCCUGAUCAGUACCUUGUUUAAUCAUGGACCUGUUGGUUCUGCAGACAUUUAUUUUGUCCUGUUGGCUUACUGAUGUGUGGGAGCAGGCAGGGGAGUAGAUUCGAUUUGGAAUAAGAGGAAAGGAUGAGAAUUCAGUAAAACACAGAUGGUGUGGGUAUCGAGUGUUGGGAAGUUUGGGAAGAUUGAAAUGAGAUCAGCUAUCAGCCAUGUUCCCAGCCAGCUCCUGGGAAAGUGCCUGGGGGAGAGCAGCAUGCAGGUGUGGCCCCUGGUCCCCAUCCAGAGGUCAGGGAUGGAUGGUGUCAGCCAGGUCAGAGCCAGUUACAGGGCAGUGAGCACGGGGGCGGCCAACCAGGAGUGAAAGCAGCACUGAGCAAAGCUGGGACAAGACCGAAGGCCGGGUCUGCGCCCUGAGAACUCUGAGGGGCUGUGAUACCCCAAGUCCAUGGCAAAGCUGGCCACCCCCAGUCUGUGUCUGUGGUUGGUGGUUUUCACAGUGACAUGGACACCGCAGGGGCUCGAGGAGAAUCUGCGGAGAUGUGACUGGCAUAUACCAAGAAAACCCCCAAUUCAGGGAAGCACUUGGCUCUAGGUAGAAACGGAGAAAGACACAUGAGGAGGAUGGUGAGAAUAGAACACAGGGUGUGACAUAAAAGCCCACAAGACUCUGCGCGUACGUGCUCUACACACCCAGGGAGGAAUCUGGACCAUUCUGCUGGAGGGUAUUGGAGGCAUCCUGGAGAUAAUGAAGUUUAACCAACAGAACCAUCCUGCCGGUGCAGGGACUGCAAUUUCCCAGGUGAUGUUACAGAGAUGUAGGGGAGGGACAUGGGGAAGGUCUGGUUUGAAAUUCACCCACGAGGAACAAUCACAGUUUCCCUCAAACUGUGGCCCAGAGGGGGCAUCCCAAGUGGCUCAGCAGUAAAGAAUCCAGCUGCAGUGAAAGAGACUCAGGUUUGAUUCCUGGGUUGGGACAAUCCCCUGGAGAAGGAAAUGGCAACUCACUCCAGUAUUGUUGACUGGAAAAUCCCAUGGACAGAGAAGCCUGGCGGGCUACAGUCCAUGGGGUAGCAGAGUCAGACACCACAGAGCACACAUGUAUACUAUGGCUUAGAGACCAUCUGCCUAAGAAUCACACGGGAGCACUUAUUUAAAAAUCAGGUUCCUGAGCUCGGUCAGAAGCUCUGAGGCGGAGCUUGGGAAUCUGCAUUUUUAAUAAACCCUCCAGGAGAUUGUCAUCAAAUUGAAGUUUGAGAACCCCUGGCUCCAGUGCUGAAGGAACUUGCCGACUAUACACACACACACACACACACACACACACACACACACACACACACACACACCCAGCCAAGACCAGGACCAGCCUUUCUGGCCUGGCAGCCUUCCCACUAAACCUCUCCCUCACUCACUAAACCCAGGUGCCCUGCACCAUCUGCUGACACUGGUGUUUCUAAGGUGCUUAUCAAAACUCAAGUCUUUUUCUUCAGGGAGGAUGAUUUGGGGGAGGUCAUAUGACUGAAAGACAAGUGUCUCUAAAGAGAACCCCAUUUGUUCAGAGUGACCCCUGCUGUCUUUGUCAGUUGACAACUUCGAGCCUGCCCUUUACCACCAAGUGAAAGAGGCUGGUUCGACACAGAAGUUAAGCUCUGUGUUUCAAGGUGAAACUCUUGCUUUACUUGUGAAAGCUGCAUAUUUUGUGCUGGGAUGAGGGUCCUUCUCAUGUGUGAUGUUUCAUUCUUGGUGGAGGAAGUGCCUUAGUUUAAGCCUCAGCAUCCACUCUGGUCCUGAUGGUGACAUGGGGAAGGGCAGCCCUGCCCGCCCCUCUUUGAGGGUUGGCUCCAGGGCCCCUUUGGGCUGCAGGUUUCCUGGGGCAGCCCUGCCUGGAUGGGAUGGGCACAGCCCCCUCAUCCCAGGUCUAGCACAAGGAUGCCUGCUCUUCCAUGGCCAGAAGCCCCAUCCGCCAGUGAUGGCCUUGCCUGCAAUAGAGGUGACAUGUUGGUGUCCUGGGAUUGAAUUUGAACUGAAUUGCCUGUAUUUGAUUGAAUUUCUGUUUCUUUCUGGAGCUAAGGUGAGAUGGAAGCUUGCCACCCUGACUUAUGUGAAAAGGCCUUGUGUGUAUGUGUUUUGAUGGAGAGAGGAACAUGGGUUUGUUUAGCUGGAAAAGCUGUUCUCCUACAAGGCUUGCUGUUACAGAAGCCACAGGAUUGUGGCAAGCAACCCCCAGCGUCCUUGGAAAAGUAAGUCCCAGAGUUCAGGCCUCAGAGAUGAGGGAGAGGCGAGAGCUGCACAGGUGCACCCUGCAGGGGGGCUCCAAAGCCCCAGAAAAUGGGCUCCAGGCAGCGUGGGGCCCGGAGGCCAAGCUGAGGCAUGGGCUGGCAGUUCUUCCUAGCAGAGAGCGCCCGGUGAUGCCGCAGAGCAUUCAGCCAGCGCUGACGGCCCUUGAUGGAAACAGACACUGCCUGCCGCCCCAACCUGACCCCAGGCACAGACCACUUCCCCAGUGAGCUCUCCUGAAAUGGGCUGUGACCUGCACAGCAGGAGGAGGAGGAGGAAGCACUGCUGCUGAUGAAGGUGAAGACAAAGAUGGUCAUGCCGAUGACCAUGGACCGUGGUUGGCAAAGUACUGUCUCUGCUGUAUAAUACGCUGUCUAGGUUGGGCACAGCUUUUCAUCCAAGGAGCAAGCGUCCUUUAAUUUCAUGGCUGCAGUCACCAUCUGCACUGAUUUUGGAGCCCCCAAAAUAAAGUCUCUCACUGUUUCCAGUUUCCCCAUCUAUUUGCCAUGAAGUGAUGGGAUCAGAUGUCAUGAUCUUAGUUUUCUGAAUGUUGAGUUUUUAAGCCAACAUUUUCACUUUCCUCUUUCACUUUCAAGAGGCUUUUUAGUUCCUCUUCACUUCUGCUAUAAGGGUAGUGUCUUCUGCACAUCUGAGGUUAUUGAUAUUUCUCCCGGCAGUCUUGAUUCCAGCUUGUGCUUCAUCCAGCCCAGUGUUUCUCAUGAUGUACUCUGCAUUGAAGUUAAAUAAGCAGGGUGACAAUAUACAGCCUUGACGUACUCCUUUCUCGAUCUGGAACCAGUCUGAUGUUCCAUGUCCAGUUCUAACUAUUGCUUCUUGACUUGCAUACAGAUUUCUCAAGAGGCAGGUCAGGUGGUCUGGUAUUCCCAUCUCAUUCAGAAUUUUCCACAGUUUCUUGUGAUCCACACAGUCAAAGGCUUUGGCAUAGUCAAUAAAGCAGAAAUAGAUGUUUUCCUAGAACUCUUUUGCUUUUUAGAUGAUCCAGUGAAUGUUGGCAAUUUGAUCUCUGGUUCCUCUGCCUUUUCUAAAACCAGCUUGAACAUCUGGAAGUUCACGGUUCAUGUAUUGCUGAAGCCUGGCUUGGAGAAUUUUGAGCAUUACUUUACUAGCAUGUGAAAUGAGUGCAAUUGUGCGGUAGUUUGAGCAUUCUUUGGCAUUGCCUUUCUGGGAUUGGAAUGAAAACUGACCUUUUCCAGUCCUGUGGCCACUGCUGGAUUUUCCAAAUUUGCUGGCAUACUGAGUGCAGCACUUUCACAGCAUCAUCUUUUAGGACUUGAAAUAAGCUCAACUGGAAUUCCAUCAUCUCCACUAGCUUUGUUCAUAGUGAUGCAUUCUAAGGCCCACUUGACUUCACAUUCCAGGAUGUCUGGCUCUAGGUGAGUGAUCACACCAUCGUGAUUAUCCGGGUCGUGAAGAUCUUUUUUGUACAGUUCUUCUGUGUAUUCUUGCCACCUCGUCUUAAUAUCUUUUGCUUCUGUUAGAUCCAUACUAUUUCUGUCCUUCAUCGAGCCCAUCUUUGCAUGACAUGUUCCCUUGGUGUCUCUAAUUUUCUUGAAGAGAUCUCUAGUCUUUCCCAUUCUGUUGUUUUCCUCUAUUUCUUUGCAUUGAUCGCUGAAGAAGGCAUUCUUAUCUCUCCUUGCUAUUCUUUGGAACUCUGCAUUCAGAUACUUAUAUCUUUCCUUUUCUCCUUUGCUUUUUGCUUCUCUUCUUUUCAUAGCUAUUUGUAAGGCCUCCCCAGACAGCCAUUUUGGUUUUUUGCAUUCCUUUUCCAUGGGGAUGGUCUUGAUCCCUGUCUCCUGUACAAUGUCACGAACCUCAUUCCAUAGUUAGUUCAUCAGGCACUCUAUCUAUUAGAUCUAGUCCCUUAAAUCUAUUUCUCACUUCCACUGUAUAAUCAUAAGGAAUUUGAUUUAGGUUAUACCUGAAUGGUCUAGUGGUUUUCUUCACUUUCUUCAACUUAAGUCUAAAUUUGACAAUAAGGAGUUCAUGAUCUGAGCCACAGUUAGCUCCCGGUCUUGUUUUUGCUGACUGUAUAGAUCUUCUCCAUCUUUGGUUGCAAAGAAUAUAAUCAGUCUGAUGAAAUCAGUCUGUUGACCAUCUGGUGAUGUCCAUGUGUGGAGUCUUCUCUUGUGUUUUUGGAAGAGAGUGUUUGCUAUGACCAGUGCGUUCUCUUGGCAAAACUCUAUUAGCCUUUGCCCUGCUUUAUUCCGUAUUCCUAGGCCAAAUUUGCCUGUUACCCCAGGUCUUUCUUGACUUCCUACUUUUGCAUUCCAGUCCCCUAUAAUGAAAAGGACAUCUUUUUGGGUGUUAGUUCUAAAAGGUCUUGUAGGUCUUCAUUGAACCGUUCAGCUUCAGCUUCUUCAGCAUUACUGGUUGGGGCAUAGACUUGGAUUACUGUGAUAUUGAAUGGUUUGCCUUGGAAACGAACAGAGAUCAUUCUGUCGUUUUUGAGAUUAAUUAUUCCGAGGCUAUUUGAGUUUUAAAACGGUCUGGUCAAUAUUGCAGAGACUGAAAUCUCCAGAAGAUGGCAGCAGUGAGACACUCUUACACCAUAAUCUCAGACUAUCCAGGACAUUCACAUUUGCGCGGACACAUUCCUACCAGAAUCCAUUAUUACACACUGCCAGUAAAAAACAAUCACUUUGCAUAGAAAAAUAGUAACAGGUGGAUUUUUAACCACUGGGCUAACAGGCAAGUCCAGCUCAGUGGUAUUUUAAAAGCAACUGGUCUCCGUCUAGCUGGCUGGCAGAUCCUGAAGCCCAUUGUGAAGCAGAGGGCACCCUACUUUAGCAGAUGGUCCUGCGAGGUGGGAAUUGCAUUUGGGCUGACACCCGUUCGUCUGGGUGUACCUGUGACUCCUUAGAGGGCCACGGUGGAGAGGAUCAGAGGUUCUUUGGAAGGGAUUCUGCUCUUACUGUCAGCGACUCUGCGUGUUUAGUGCUAUUUUGUCAUCACUCAUAUAUAUAGGAAUACAUACACACACAUAAAAAAAACAUAUACAUACCCAAGAACAUACACACGAGAACAUCAUUUUUGCAUUUUCCUUGUCUCAACUGAGAAGGACCCAAGUUCCAGUCCCACCAGCAAAACUUUGGGGGAUCAUCUCUAAAUGACAUAUGGAAAUGCAGGGAUGACAAAGAGUCCAGAAACUUCAACUGAGGUCACGUUCAGUCUUUACCUCAUUCCCUUGUCUAUUUGACAAGGGCUGUGGGCUUCUCAGGGCUCUUUCAGGUGUAACAUUUCAGUAUUUCUUUUUUUGGAGGCGUUGGGAGAGGAUUAAGGAUUUACCUCCUCCCCUGACUACUGCCCAACUUUGCCAGAAGCAAGAAAGAGCAUUCUUUUUGUUUCAGCACACCCAGAUAAGCCAGCUGAAGAGACACCACACCAAGGAAAUGUGGGACUUCCAGAGGCUCCCCACACCUGAGACUUUUCUUGGAACAUACAGCUUUUAGUUCUAGAUUCAUAAAUCUCACAUUCCUACAAACGUGAACCCUGUCUUCUGCAACAAGAGUCAGAAAAGUCGUUCUUUCUAACUGUGCAUAUUGCCCCUGGCAGGAAGCAAAUGUCAGCUCAUACCUGUGUAAUUGAUCUGUGGCAUCUCAGUUUCAAGGCUUAGCCAAAACAGUUACUAAUAGAUUUCAGAUGACAGACACGGAAUUUUCUUCUCUUGUCCUUCAGUGGGAAAAUCAGGAGGAUGAACUGUGAUUAGGUUUGAUGCCUUUACGGUAAUUUUUGGAAAGCUUAAAAUAUUAAGAAAAAAACUGGAGUGUAUAUGGACAAUGUUUUAGUUGUCUGUUUAACAAACAUAAACUUAUUGAAUUGACUUGGCAGGUAAAGUGCAUUUUUUUCUUUCAUUAUUUUAAAAUUUUGUUAAGCUGAAGAUUAUGUAUAAAAGCACCAGAACAAUGCAUCAUUCAACAAAUGUUAAUAUAAUUUUUUAUAAAAUGUACUUGAAGGGUGAUUAUUUGUAAUCAUUUUAGGAAUACCUGGAUUUUUUACGUGAUAGCAGUUCACAUUAGAAGACUAAAGAUCAACAGAUUGUUUUAAGUAAGUGUUGGCUAGUUUUGCAGAGGAUUUUCUUAGACUAAGAUCGGCUGAGGCCUCAGAACUUGAAAGAUGAACCAUCCUGUCAUUGACAAAGUGUUCAUGAUCCAUGGAGCCCAUUUUAUCCAUCUGGUCUUCUUUAUUUAAUUUAAGGUAUAAAAGCUCAAAGACCAACGUCUCCAGGAGCUUCUGGUCUUGAAGCAUUCUUUAUAAAUUCUGGAAGGUCCAGGAAGCAUCGUAUAGGUACUGAGUUUCAUUAGUGUCAUGAGCUCUAGUGUCAUGAACUCUUUGGAAGAAAUAGAUUUUACUACAGUAAGAAGCGGACCCGCCCAUCUCAAUAGUUAGGAAAACUUAUCAGAGUUGUUGUAUUUUCACAAGAUCUGCACCAAAAGAGCCUUAUUUCUUGAUUGACAGCCUAAACCUCUCUUUAUAAGUAUUGAACAGCAGAGGCCGUAUUCACAAUGCAGCCGGAGGGACAGUAAAGGCUCUGCUCAUGCCCCAGGUGCCUGGAGAUGUGAGCGGUUAAGACAGGAGUACCGAGCACACAGAUUCUGGGACUUGGGUGCUCACUGAUUAUGACAGAGGCGAAUUCAACAAGCGUUUGACAGAGAGACAGUACGUAUUUUUAAAAAGGAAACAAAUGCCUUUUUGAUUGAGAGAGUGCUCUGAUAAAGUAAAUGUCAGCGUAAUGCAGAUAAUAGCCUACGCUAUCUGCUGUCACCAUGGUUACUGACGUAGUGGGUCAUCUUUACUCGCUGGAGAAUCGAUACUGAAUGGCUUUAUUUUUCCAUUAGCAGCCCUUAGCUGUGUUCUGUUGAACAUCACCACUCCUUUCUCUCUGCAAGGAGACAGUCUAGUUAUAUAAACCUUUAGUAUUUCCAGUUAUUAGAACAGUCUCAUUCUAAAAACAAGUCCUGUUUAAUUGCUUUAAAAUCACAUAUUAUUUUUUUAUUGAAGUAAACGUUUUGCAGUGAAAAGCAUGUGUGGUAAGAUUCACUGACUUUCAGCAAACUUAUACCCUGUGUAGGAUGCAAAAUGAAUGUGCAAAAAUAAAUUAUGUUUCUGUAUGGUAACGGUGGUGGUUUAGUUCUCGGUCAUGUCCAACUCUUGUGACCCCAUGGUCUGUGGUCUGCCACGCUCCUCUGGCUAUGGGAUUCUCAGGCAAGAAUGCUGGAGUGGAUUGCAAUUUGCUUUUCCAGGGGAUCUUCCUGACCCAGGGAUCAAAGCCAGAUCUCUUGCAUCCGAGGUGGAUUCUUUACCAACUGAGCCACCAGGGAUUUCUGUAUACUAACUAUUAAAAAUCUGCAAAUGAAAUUAAGAAAACAAUUUCACUACAGCUUCA
ensembl:lncRNA